rnacentral:rRNA from 1 species
UACGUAGGUGGCAAGCGUUGUCCGGAUUUACUGGGCGUAAAGAGCGCGCAGGCGGUCGUGCAAGUCGCGUGUGAAAGCCCCCGGCUCAACUGGGGAGGGUCACGCGAUACUGUUCGACUCGAAGGCAUGAGAGGGAAGCGGAAUUCCCGGUGUAGUGGUGAAAUGCGUAGAUAUCGGGAGGAACACCAGUGGCGAAGGCGGCUUCCUGGCCUGUUCUUGACGCUGAGGCGCGAAAGCUAGGGUAGCAAACGGG